rnacentral:lncRNA from 1 species
GGGCGGAGCAAAACUCCUAAAUCAGCAAACAAUAGUCAUUGACAUUUUAGGGAAAUAAUUCAUGAAAAUACAUUUUUCUUUAUAUUAGGGUCUAUACAUGAAUAAAAGACGCCACAUAUGUAUGAUUAUCUUUUUCUGACAACCACAUACAGGUGACAAUAACAUUUUAUGUUCAGCACAUCAGUUGGUCUGACCACGUAUGACUAUUUGCGUCAGUAGGGAAUUCCACUCUUUCUAGAAACUUUGAGAGCACUUUGAACAGACAUAAGGGCCACCGAGUAUCAUCAAAGAGGCACAAUGAAGUUGUAUGACCAGCUCAUUUAUGCUUCUUAAGCAUCAUUUUGCCCCAGCACAGAGAGACAGGUCCAAAUAAGCUCAAAAUGACAAAAUGCUGACAGGGAGCGGCGAUAGGGAUCCAAGCUGUGAGUAUAUCUAAUAUUCAUUAUGAGGCAAGACAAAGGAUACUAGAUGAGAUUACUGAGUUGAUUUUAUAUCAAAAAUUGCUUCAAUAAAUCAAGCACGUCAAGCUGCAUUUGUUAAAAAGGCGAACUUUUUAAUCAAAUUUAAAACAAUUUGGAGACAAUAUCAUUCUCCUCAAACUCUUGAGUCUGGUCACCGAGCUUUAAUGGCACUUUGCAGUCUUGACCUGACAUUGUAAUCUCUGAGCAAACUGACUGGCGCCAAGGGAAGAAUCAGAGGAAAGGAGACACAACAGGGGGGGUCAAACGAGAAAUGAGCUGUGACAAAUUGCAACGACAAAACCGGUUAAUAAAGGCUCCCAUUAAAGCCUUACAUGCGUCCCUUAUGGAUUUAUGUCACUUUGAGCCUGCAGCUUUCGAAGCAUAUUAGAAUCUUUACCUAUUCUGAUGUCUUGAAUCACUAUCAGCACCUUCCAGCAGGAAAAAAAGGAGCAGGUGUGCUGCUCUGAGGUUGUUCUCCACAAAUGAAUAGCGUUACCAUCUUUCUUUAAUGGGGGGAAGGAAACACUCGUCUGCAUGAAGCCACUAAUGUAAUUUAGCAUGGCGUAGCAGCAAAGUAGCUGUCUAUCCUUAAUUGAGCAAUUUAGCAAGAUGUGACAUGGUCAGCCAUCAAUUAGAGCAUCACAUCAAGAACAACAAUUUCCGGUUGGAAUGAUAGGCGAUUGUGAGAAAUCGAUGUUCUGAUGCUUAUUGCAGCACCUGAAUUUCUUUUCCUUCCUCUCUCGGAUGCCUAGAUUCAGAGGCUGUUUAGAUGUGAAGUGGCUGUACUUUUUUGUCGUCCAGGAAAACAGAAAAAUGCGCGCGUAAAGGAAGUUAUAAUAGUAAGAAACCAACUGAAGUAAAAAAGAAAAAUCCAAAUCAUUAAAUGCUUACGAAGAUCGUGGAGUUACUAAUUUAAAAAAACGCACCACAGUUCUUAUUUAUGAAAAGCUCCCUUUUAAGAUAACCUUAUAUUCCAUACCUGCAAAUGGUCCACUAAAUGUCCAGAUUCCUUUGCGCCUUUUCCAUUCCUUUAGCAGCACCAGCGCGGUGUCUUUUUAGGGCGAAGAGAAAGGUAGGCCUCGGCCCAGACCUCUAACAUUAUGUAAAUGAGGCAAACCUCUCAACCUUCUGGAUUACUGAGUCAGAGAGCAGGACCCUGGUCCACAGACCCUCCACAUUAGGAUCCCAUAAAAAUCUGGAGCUAGUUAGAGGCACGCAACGCACAUGGGAGCUUAAAGUCCACAAUAAUAUGGCUGUAAUCAAUAAAGGUUAACUUUCACAUCUGGGAAUGAAGAAGACUUGGCAAAGGCAGGGAGAGCGGGAAACAAGGACGCACAAGGAGCGAUGAAGAAGGCCGCGCUGCAGGUUUGUCAUUAAAACUUACACAUUUCGAAAGAAAAAGAUUUUAAUCGCCCAGCCUUACUCUGUGGCUUUUCUGUUCAUAUUUACCAAAGAUAGAUUGUUUGUGUGGGUUUUUACAGAGUGUGUGUUUCAUGCUAAAAGCAUCGAUCAAUAUACACCUUGCAAUUAAUCUAUCCACGCACUGGCGACAGAAGAGGCAUAAGUGGCACCUUAGAAGCUACCUGAACAAGGAAAUUUCAGUCUAGGGACGAUGUCGAAGGACAAUGUGUUAACUUGCGUGAAACUCUGUAUUUCACCUGUAAAACGCUUUGCGUUUUUCUCUUUGUCUUUCUCUUUUGCUGAAAAUUUAUUUCACCUUAUCUCACUUGGAAAAUAUUUCACAAGCUUUAGAAAAUAGCUUAAUUGCUGAUGUGCAAACCAAAGUCUAUAAGAGAAAAAGUGAUAAGUGCUCUGCUAUUCAGUGAAAAGAUGCAAGCCAGGCAUUGCUUUGCCACCAGCCAUUGAUUCAUCUGUGCUGUGUGCAAGACGUGUAGGGGCAAAAGCGCCCCACAUACAUAAACUGAAAUGGCUGCCUUCAAGGACACGAUCCAUCUUUUCAGUUUAUGAUGAAGAUAUGCUGUUAACCAAAUCCAAAUGAAAGUUUAUGUAGUCCAUGUCCCAGAGACGACCUUUUUCCGAUAUCAUCACCCUCUCAGCUCAGCUCAGCUCAGCAGAGAGCAGCAGAUGGACCAAAGCGCUUGGUGGCUGAAUUGCUUUUCUCUAUCUCGUCCUUGCUGGUUCAAUACCCUGAGAGAUGUGGAGAGAUGGUUGAAGGACCAGGGUCCUGACCUGCAACCUUAACCACACAGUGGCAAAGCACUGAGUGCCGACAAAAUGGGGAUUUAUUUUCAUCUUGCAGCCCUUAAAUCUUUUCUUCUUCUUUUUUUAACUUUUAAAUAUCCCCCUCUAUUGUGAGUAAAAUCUAAACCAGCAAUAACACUAGAGACUUGUGCCCAGUUUCUUCUUACAUGUCUGUAUGUAUUGUUUGGAUUCCUUAGCAGGUGAAAAGAAAAAAACACCCGUAAAUUUUGCGUGCGUAAUUUACGCACGACCAACUGUCGUGGUUUUUCCUUUGUCUCGGCCUCACGGUGGACUUCUUAGGAUAUCUUAUCAUUUCAUCCAUCACAUUUAUCAAUGACGUAUUUAGUAUGGUGAUCAACGAAAAAAAAUACAGACUUGUUCGUCAGGGGUGCUUCAAAAAUUAUUUUAAAAAACAGCAUUACGCACCAAUUUAUCUUCUUUCACCAACAAUCUCAGCACUCAAUAAAUCAAUCAAUCACACAAUACAAAUGGAGUAAAAAGAAGGCGAAAUUAUAUCAAGUAUUUUUAUUUCUAUAAUAUCAGUAUUCGCUCUCAAGAAAGAGACUAAAAUAAUUUCAAUUUCUAUUUGAUAUUAAGCGAUUUACAAGUGACCGACAGUGUCAUUAACAAGAAAUUAAGAGUUUUUAGUGCAUUUUUACGCACGAAAUAAAAACAGUUAAUUUAUUUUUCCGCACGUUACUUUGAAUGUUGAAAUUAGUGUAAAGCCACCAAUAAUUCAUCCUCUUCAGUCCUUUCUUCAGAUUUUUAGGAUUUCUGUACUGUGGUCAGCCCUGAAGCUAAACUGGUGAGGAAAAUUUGUUGAGAAAAUUCCACACCUGCAGUCAGUGUAGUACCAUUUAGAUCAAAUGCUUUCUCUCCUCUUAAAUCGCUGAGCAGUGUGAGAGUAAAAAGCAGGCAGGUGCAUAUCUUUCAGCUGCACUACUUGAAACGGUGCGGUUCCUCAGCUAAGUAGGUUAAAGGUCCUCCCAAGUGGAGAAAGUAUGUGACAGGCCUCUUGAAGACCGUAUUCUUCAGCGGGAGUUUGCAUUCAUUCACAAUUAAUGUCGCUUGAUGGACGAAAUGAUGCUAAUAGGGCGCCCAAAACAGAACAUGGGCUCUUUCGGGAUGUUGACCAUAAUCUGACUGCUGAGGCAAAUGGAGAGCUGGAGAAUUCACAUGCGUAAUAAGUCUGAAGUUACUUUCAUUUCUUACAUUUCCGGGCCAUGACGUGUAUCAGAGUAUUUAUUGACUUAAAUGACAAAAGAAACGAGAUGCAAGGUGAGCUGUCUUUAAAUGGGAUCCUGUGUGGUCAUGUUGCUUGAAGGAAGAGAAUUGAUAUUUUUUUUAACAGGUAAUUACUGUAGUUCUUCCGUCUCUUAAGAGAAAACUGUCAAGGUUCUUUCAGGAAACUGAGACACUUUUGUGUCUAUGUCGCCCAAGAGAAGUUCUUUGAGCUUUUUAAGCCUCUGAACCAAGGCCAUGAAACACAACAGAGAAAGUCAGAGCCUGUGCCACUCACACAGCAUGAAACCAAGCUGUUGAUAUGCACACUAUAAAACCAGUUGUUUGCUCUUUUUGUAAGAGAAGAUGUAAGCAAGAACUCACUUAAAAGUAGCAUGAUAUAACUGCUAAAGACAUGCAGGUUGUGGAUACUCACGCAUAUUUGACUUAAAUAUUUUGCAUUAAAAAUAGUUAAGUGUGUUUGUAAGCCACAGACAAUUAAAACUGAUGUGCUUUCUUUGCAUAAGUACAAAGAAGUUUAAUUUUUCCCAAGUUUUUCCCUCACAAAUCUUACAACAUGAGAGUCAUGAAAUACAAACAUUAAUCCUACCAGUUUGUAUUUAUUGAGAUCAUGUAUUAAAGCCUUAGACAGACACCCACAUCCUGGUUUAGACUUCAGAACAUGCAAAGAAGCAUGACAUUUUUUAUACGCACUUAUAUAUGAUCAACUUUUGUGAGAUUAGCAUUAAAAGUACAUUCAUAAGUGUGACACACAAACACUGUAAAGGUAAGCAAAGUCAGUUAUGACAUUCAGCACUUUGUCACACUGUCUGAAAGUGUUUAGGGCAGAGAAUUUAGUCACUUAGUUGUGAAACAGAUCAAUCCUGCUAUAAUAUAGGCACUCUGUGAGUGCUGCAGACCUGUGCAUUGUUUUCAAUGAGAUCAUUUAAGCAUGGCUGCUCUCUUUUAUACUAACAAUAAAAAAAAGAACACAGCCGCUGAUCAAUACAGAUAGCUAAGGUUCUGGUUGGUUUUCUGCUGCAUUAAACGUGGUAACAGUAAGCAAAGCUGAUUGUGAUCUAACCACAGCUCACUUUAGUUUUGUCACAGGACAAAAUGUCUCUCUCAGGCUCUCUGUGUGUCAAAGUGCCCUUUACAGUCUGCUGGUGUGGCAUUGAGUGAAGUCUGCAUGAUUGUCCUGAAAUGAUCUUAUCAGUUUAUAGAAAAACAAAAACUUGUGGUAGACAUCCUGAAUUUAUAGAUUAAGGUUCCAAAUGUUUUUUCUGACUUCUUUAACCAUUUAUUCUGUACGACUGAACUUUUUUGCUUCUGUUGCCUUUCAUUUGCCUCACACCAAAAAGAAAGAUGAGAUAAAAGUUGGUUUAAUAAUAAAAUCUUAUUGCUUACAGGGUGACUGGUUUACAUUAAAUCAAUUUUUAAAACCAUAGAAAGAAACACAUUUGAGAGUUUAUUAUCUAUGGCAAGUGACCUUGUUAGGCAUUUGCAUGCAUAUUGUGUAUUUCCUUCAAUUCAGUUUUAUUACUUUGCUUAAAGGUUGGGUUUUUUGAUCAGACAGUUGUACUCUCUCAUAGCUGCAGACGUUUCACACCAUCAUAUGGGGUAAAAAAAAAUAAUAAUAAAAUGUGGUUUCACACCUGAAAUUCAUGCAAAUAGCUACAAUCUGUAUCAAGUGUUUCCUGAUGUCCAUUUUUUGCCUGGGAUUCAUUUUUCAGCUUGUUUUCACAUUAACCGUGAAGAGAUGCAUCUUCUAAUCAAAAGUUUCAAAGCACUUUGAGUGCUCUGUGUGGAGACAGAAACUUUUUAAAUGGCUCCACAACUCAUGGAUGGAAAUGUAACCAGAAGCUGCAUAUCAAUGUGAUAGUUCUACCGGUCUGUUUGUCCCCUCUUUUGGACGCUUUUAUCUAGUAGGCCACCUGAUAGCCUACAAUUAUUUAGAUGAAUCCCCAUAAACACAUCACAAAACUACUUUAAAUUCUGAAUGUAUUGAUCCUGACAGACACAAGCACAUCCCAUGUGCGGAAAUUUAAAUUUUAAAGUCAAAGCCCAUUUUUGGGACCCGGUGUAUCAAGAUUAAAAAUCCUCAUUUUGUCUGGUUUUCUUUGGAGAAAUUGAACCCUGCUUCAGUCACCUGCAGCACACUGAAGAGGGGAGGUGGUAAACUGAAGGCUUUGUGAGUGAAAGAUAUCACUGGGCGAAUAAUAGAGCGGCUCCAGGAAUGUAAAACAGACGCCAAUAUUAGCGUUUUAAAAUCAGCUCACCAUCUAAUACUUCAAAAUCACAGAGGAUAUUUUUGUUAUGUGACUGUCUGUGUUUGUCACUAAAUUUAUUCACAAAAUUCUUUAACAAAAAGCUAUUCUUGUCUUGUAGGUGAAGCCAUGCCUGUGUGUCAAUAAUGAACAAUCAAAAGCAUAAAAAAUAAAUAAAAAAUCAGUGGUGCCAUUUUAAAGAAAAACUCUAUAUUAAACAAUCCUAGUGUGAUAAUCCAGCUUUUUAUUUUAUUGAGAUUUCAUAUCCUUUUUUUUAUAAUAUCAAAAAUAAAGGGGAAAAAUGAAUAUUAUAUUAGAAAUAUUAAUGAUCUUUCAUACAGCAUUACAAUAUUUGUCAUAUUCUUUAAUUAAAUUUCCCUUUAGGGAUUAAUAAAGUUCUUCUUAAUCAUUUCCCCUCUUCAUGUUUGUCUCUGGAAAAAAAAGGAAAAAAUUAAAUAAAAUUACACCUCUUUAUGUACUGAUUAAAUCAUCCUAAUUUGGUAAAUCCUGAUAUAGUUGCAUAAGGAGGUCAAACACAGAAAAAGUUUAGACUUAAGACAGGACAUUUUUAAAGUGCUUUGCUGAAGGCCAUAUUUGCUAACUUUACACAGCAGAACAGAGUCGACCAAAGAAAUCUUAACUUAACAAACGCUUCAGUCAGUAGGCAGUGAUUUUUUUUUUCUUUCAUUGAGACAGAAAAGUACAGACAUUUAAUUUACUUUAAGUGGACGUUAAGGGAAACCUAAGUGAAUUUUCUCCAAAGACCAAGACCAAAGAAACUUUACACCUACACCUCAUACUUAGAGCUACUUUAUAUCCAUGUCUCAACUAUACCUAAUACUUAACAACUCUCAUUUUGAUGGAGUCAAAGCUAAAGCUGCUAACAUGUGCAAAAUGUGCAUUUUGAAAGUCGAAACAGCAAGGUAGGGUUUUGUACAUUUAGAUUGUGAUGCUACUCAGCAGAGUUAAUACACAAGAAGUGGCAUGAUUUGUGAGCAACGUGUGAGGAUUUCAGUUUUCUUGAGUGGCUGCAUUUAAAAUUACUGCAGGUAAAAAGUCACUCAAUGGAAACAGAGGGGAAAAAAGGAAAGAAACAAAAACAAAACAAAACAAAAAAAUACCAGUAAUACUGUGGGUACAAUAUUUGACACGGCAAUAGAUGAUCAUCUUUCUACAAAAAAGUGUGUGAAAUACACAACAGAAGUAAGCAGGCAUUAACAGAGGCCACAAUUUGUUACACACAAAGUGUUUGUGUAGAAAUGUACAACCGUGUGUUCAAGUGUCAUGCAGAAAUGACUAACAUCCAGCUAAAUUAUAGAAAAUGAUGGAGUGAGAAUGACAUCCAAACAAGAAAAUGCACAAAUAUUAUAUAUAUUUGUUUUGUAUGACAGUGAUACAUCAGAAUUAUGGUUUAACUUGCAUUUUUUUUCACCUGUCCUUCAAUUUUUCAAAUAGUUUGGCACAAAAACAACCAUAUGCACUCGAUCAGUUAUAGAAUAAAGCCUUAGAGGGAUUAAUAUAAAAUCUGAAUUAGUGUAGAGUAAAUGCCUUUACAUGUUUCAUGUAGUUGUAUGGGUCUGUCAGCACACAGGUGUAAAUGACAGCAGAGCGACAUAUUUCAGGGAUGUCAUCAAAACAAAUGUCAAAAUCUGCUUUUGAAGAAAGAAAACAGAAGCUCAAUCUGGAUCAUGUUUUUCUAUAAUCAUACUUAAUGUUUAGGUUUUCAAAGAGACUUAAUGUUCCUUUCAUUUAACAUCUUCUCUGCCUCCUACGUGAAACUAACUCAUCCAAGGCUGGCAUGCUUGUCGAGUCAAUGCGUCACUUCAGAGAUGAUAUAAUGCAGGAAAGAAAAAAAACAUAUUAACUCUACCGUAGUACCAUUUAUCACACAAUAAUAUCAAUAUUUAUUAGUAAAAGCUCUCUAUUAAACAUCAAAAUAGUGAGAGUUAUUGUUAAGCUCUGAAGAUGAAACCCUUCAGCUGUGUUUUAUUAUCACAUUCACAAAGAUUGAUUCAUGUUAAAAAAGUAUUUUACCAUUUACAGUGUCAUUUCUGCCUUUUCACACACUCUACAUUUCUCAUAAUUCCACUCAUCCCCAUCGGAUCAAAAAAUCUUAGGGUUUAGAGAAAGUAUGUUUAAAAGUUAGAAUUUUUUAAGGGUAGUUCACAAAAGACAUAAUCUAUGAAUUGUUACACAGAGAUCUAGUAAAUAAAGACGUUGUGCAUUGACUUGUUUUACACCUUUCCCCAACAUGUGAUUUCUGUGCGUCUGCCUUCCUAAUGCUUUGCAGUCAUAACAAGUCUUGCUGGGGCUAAUGGCUCUCUUGUUUGUUGGUUUUGUCUCGUCUUGUUUCAGUGAUUCUUCCUCUCUGGAAGGAUGUCAGCUCGCUGUGCCCGGCCGUCUCUGAGGACGCUUGAUGUCAUCUCGUCUACCUGAUCAUUACACUACCUGUUCUCCUCUACAAUGCUGCCCUCUCGCUGCUCUGCCACUUGAAAUGCUUGGCUGGCCUCUUCUCUGAAACCAUCAUGAAAUUGUUUGCUAAAACGCUGCAGACUGUUCCUCCUCUCUCCUCCCUCCAGCCAUGUGUGCAGGAGCCAGAAAAGAUUCCUCCACUCAGACAACUGCUGCUCAGUCAAAAGGAAAACACACAAAAUACCCUUCAGCCGCCUGCCUCUGUUCACCUCCUCACAGCUUUUAUUGAUGUUUGAAGUGUGUGAGAUUUUAUUGACUGCAGCAGUAUCCAGGUAAAUUAAAUGGACACAUGCCAUAGUUGUUUAAAAGGUCAGGAUUUACCGUCACAUAGGUUCACUCACUCUGUCUGACUCUGGAUAUGAGAUGGUGAAGAGUCUGUGAAAAGAUAAUUCGUAUCAUGGGCACUUAUUUUUGAGGAGUUCCCUUUAUUAAUCAACAAUAAUGUAUUUUUUUUCAUGCUUAACAAGAAGAUAGAGUAUAAUAACCUUGUGCUGCUAUUAUAUUUUUAAUCUUUCAUGCAGUUUGAAUAAGAAAAAGAUCUACAGUCAAUGCAUCAAAAGGAAAAAUAUUCACACAUUUUUUCGUCUUCAAGUAGAUUCUUUGUGUUAGCGAAGAGCUCUCUCUUUUUUGCAAUCCAAGAAAUGUACAUCAUAAUCUUAUUUUUUAAUUUUUAUUAAGACAUGUAAGACAUAUGUAUAAGAUGGGAUGUCCACGCUGAAUCACAGCUGUAGUCAUUCUCCAUUAAGCUACAUUGUCCCAAGGCUUGAGUGCUGUGAAUUUAGUCUCACUGUCACACUGUUGUGGCCAUUUUCUAAUGUUACUACUAACAUCUGCACUUCUCUUGUGUUUUCAGGGCCUAUUGUUUCCUGCAAAUGUUUUAUGCAGGGUUUGGUGUUUGCCCUUUUGACCCUGCUGUAAUGACACUGUCUACUCUGUUACAAAGAGUGAUUAUCUUUACUGGGAAAAGUGAGCAUUUUAUUUAUCGUCAUUUAUAGUUAUUUAUGAAUUUUCUUGAGAACAUUUCUCUGAGAUAAAGUGAUAGUGACUAUUAUCACUAUUUCAUCUGAACGAUUUACAUCAACAGAUAAAAAGCGAAAAUGCUGUAUUCUGCUGUUUAUUUAAAAAAAAAUUCUCAUUAAAAAUGUAAACUAUUUGCCUACUGUUUAGCCCUUGUAAGCUUUUGGGAAGAUACAUGCAUGCACUUUUUUUCACAAAAGGAGCGUGAUUUUAGUCCCUCGUUAGUUACAACAAAAGUGCAUUAUUAAAAAAGAGGGAGAGACAACCACAAGGAAAACCUAGUGCUUUUAUUUCUGGGCUUUUUAAAAAAUGUGAAGCUUUUAAAUCUUAUAGAUGAUCCAGAUUGUUCUAUUUUAUUACUCUGUCUUCUGGUAUGUGACUCAGAGAAAACACUAGAAUGGAACUAAGUACUGCAAAAUUACUCUCACAUGAAGGUUGCUUUGAACAAAAGCGUCUGCUAAAUGAAAUUGUAGGAUUGUAGAUAACUCAACAACUCUGCCAUUGACAAUAUUGUUGAUGAUUUUUCCACUUUUUAGAAGAGACAGUUUGAUGAACAUGAGACACACAUCAUCACACGAUCUGUGGUUUCCAUCAUCUUUGACUAUUUGAGUGAUCCUCUGGGUUUACAUUACUCCAGACUUAUGUUCUGAAUAAUGUGGAUGUAAACAAGUCUUAAUGUAUAGCUAUGUUAAUCAUGUUUAUUCAAUAUGAUAAUGUAUUUCAUGAGUAUAUAUCUUAUAUGUGAAUACAGUAGACUGUUUGAACACGGCUGCGGUGUCAGAGCAGCCGUCUGGCACACAUUCGUACAUCUGACCCAGGAAAGUCUGGAGUCUCCUACCUGUCCACCGCAUGACAGUGCAGCGCUUCACUGCUGGACACUUCGCAGCUGAGGGAAAAGGAGGAGGAGGGCUGUUGAGGAGGACUUCAGUAGCAUCACCAGAGACAGGACUGUGGUUACUUAAGUUGAAUGUAACUCCUCCUGGAUUAACGGAUCUCAGUUGCACUUCCAAAAUGUGCAGAUGGAUAGCCAAGCACUAUUUCAUGCUUUAAGCUAAAACUUCAAUAACUUUGCUUUUACAAAAAAAAAAAAAAAUCCUUUUGUAUGAUUUUUUAAAAACUUUUUAUGAAGACUGUAUCUGCCAAAGCUACUUUUAAUGUAUACAUCCUUAAUCUUCAGGAUUAACUUCAACACACUACAUCUUUAGCUUGAGGAAACUUCCAACAGUUUGUGAAUGUUGGUGAUUAUUGUCACCUUAAAUUAAUUUUCAAUAACAAGUCUUCUGUGUGUUUCUAAAUUGGAGCUUAAACACUGUAUAUGAAAAUGAGUAAGUACACCAUGCAAAGCCACUGACUGAAAUUUUGAAGUUAUGAUACAAUAUUUGCAGCCAGUUCGAUGCUUUAAAAGAAUCAUUGGUCACUUUCAGAGUUAAUUGUGAUACUGAGAGUGUUAGUUUGCUGUGGGUGUUUCUUAUAUGGUGCAGUGUGCAUUUAGCAGCAUUUAACAGAACAGAAUUGGCAAAUUAAAUGUGACAUUCAAAUGUGUUUAAAUUAGUGUGUAAUAACCAAAAAACUUAGAAUGACUUAGAAUGACCUGGAAUGAUCUAUGUACGAGUUAGUCCACUCCCACAGAGGCGGGUGUCUUGCGCCAUGUCUUUACAAACGACUGAAGACCAUUAUGCAAAAUUGCCAAAAAUGUAGCACUUGAAGAUAUUACAGCAAAAAAUAAAAUUAAAAACUAGAUAAAUAAAAUAAAAUAAAAUAAAAAUUUUGAUAGACAUUUUUGGUUUCCAGAUCUUGACAAAGGAGGAUCAUACCUAUCAUGCAUCACAGGAGCUUUUUGUCCUCCAAGGCCACUGUAGAGUCUAGAGUUCCAUCAGUGGGAGGGGUUCAGUCUGGAGUCUGACUGCUUCAUAUCACUGAGUGUUGUUUUUUCUUUUCAUUUUUUUUACACACUGUAGCUUUAAGUUAAGAUUAUGCAAAAAUCAUUGAUUAAACAGAAGUGCAUCAUGUGACAGUUUUUCUCCUUUCUUUCUUUGUCC